AUUGAACGCUGGCGGCAGGCCUAACACAUGCAAGUCGAGCGAGCGGCGGACGGGUGAGUAAUGUCUGGGAAACUGCCUGAUGGAGGGGGAUAAAUACUGGAAACGGUAGCUAAUACCGCAUACCAUCAGAUGUGCCCAGAUGGUAUUAGCUAGUAGGUGGGGUAACGGCGCACCUAGGCGUCGAACACUAGCCGGUCUGAGAGGAUGACCAGCCACACGGAAACUUAGACACGCUCCUGACUCCUACGGUAGGGAGCAGUGGGGAAUAUUGCACAAUGGGCGCAAGCCUGAUGCAGCCAUGCCGCGUGUGUGAAGAAGGCCUUCGGGUUGUAAAGCACUUUCAGCGGGUAGGCGUUACCCGCAGAAGAAGCACCGGCUAACUCCGUGCCAGCAGCCGCGGUAAUUC
rnacentral:rRNA from 1 species